AUGCAGCCUACCCUGGACAAACUUGCUGGGCGAUUGCAGCCAUGGAAAGGGAAGCUCAUGACCAAGCUGGGAUGGUGCUUGCUUGUAAAUUUUGUCCUCAUAGCAACUCUCACGUACAUCCUUACCUCCUUUGAUCUGAGUGCUUGGUUCAUUAAGAGGAUUGACAAGCUGAGGCGGGGCUUUUUGUGGGCUGGCGAAGAGGUUGCCCAUGGAGGGAAAUGCAUGGUGUCCUGGAAAAAAGUGUGUGCUCCG
rnacentral:rRNA from 1 species